CGGACGGGUGAGUAAUGUCUGGGAAACUGCCCGAUGGAGGGGGAUAACUACUGGAAACGGUAGCUAAUACCGCAUAACGUCGCAAGACCAAAGCGGGGGACCUCCGGGCCUCGCGCCAUCAGAUGAACCCAUAUGGGAUUAGCUAGUAGGUGGGGUAACGGCUCACCUAGGCGACGAUCCCUAGCUGGUCUGAGAGGAUGACCAGCCACACUGGAACUGAGACACGGUCCAG
rnacentral:rRNA from 1 species